AACAUUAUUCAGAUUUUAGCAUAUUUAAGUGAAAUAUAUUAAAAUUAAGUAAAUUCAUCUUCAUCAGUAUUUUACAGACAUGUUUAUUUUUCCUCCCCAAGCUACUUGUGUUGUUGCCACAAAGAAACUGAAUGUUUCUUCUUUUGUUAAAGGAGGAGCAUGUGCAGCUUUGGGUGGUACUGCAAAAGAUGCAACAUCCUUCAUCCUUAACUCAGCCACAGGCUGCAACUCCACAUCCAGUGGUCAGAAGUGAUUCGACGGGAAACCAGUGUUGGAGAUUCAGCAGCAUUAACAUGUACACGAUAUGAAAGCAUAAGUGAAAAUGCAUUUAUCUCUUUUGCCACCGUCUGUGAUAAGAGCCUCAAUAAAGACUCAUUCAACUAGACAUAAUGUCUUUUGGAUUGUCUUGCAUUUUGUGAACAUUAAACUGAAGACAAAUAAUCUAUUAUUUUACCACCUCUUCUCCACUAUUUUCUAAUACU
rnacentral:lncRNA from 1 species